rnacentral:rRNA from 1 species
AUACGGAGGAUCCGAGCGUUAUCCGGAUUUAUUGGGUUUAAAGGGAGCGUAGGUGGACAGUUAAGUCAGUUGUGAAAGUUUGCGGCUCAACCGUAAAAUUGCAGUUGAUACUGGCUGUCUUGAGUACAGUAGAGGUGGGCGGAAUUCGUGGUGUAGCGGUGAAAUGCUUAGAUAUCACGAAGAACUCCGAUUGCGAGGGCAGCUCACUGGACUGCAACUGACACUGAUGCUCGAAAGUGUGGGUAUCAAACAGGAUUAGAUACCCUGGUAGUCCACACAGUAAACGAUGAAUACUCGCUGUUUGCGAUAUACAGUAAGCGGCCAAGCGAAAGCAUUAAGUAUUCCACCUGGGGAGUACGCCGGCAACGGUG